rnacentral:ncRNA from 1 species
AUAAAUUCUAAGAGCAGGAAGAGUAGUUGGAAUGUUCUAUAAACAGCGAGUCGGGGUUGGUGGAAGCCGAUUUUAGAGUAUCUGAUGAAUGGGUCUGUGAGAAGCAGGGUGAAAUCUUUUGAGAGUAUCCUAAGCCGGGAGUCCCCCGUUACAGGGACAGGAUAUCGGGAGCAAUCUCCGUAUCUAUAAGAGAUGGAUGGCAUUAAGCCUUCUAACUUGGGUGGCACCGCGAAGAGCAUGGUUCUUCGUCCCAUAU